CUCUCGGGUGACGAGCGGCGGACGGGUGAGUAAUGUCUGGGAAACUGCCUGAUGGAGGGGGAUAACUACUGGAAACGGUAGCUAAUACCGCAUAACGUCGCAAGACCAAAGUGGGGGACCUUCGGGCCUCAUGCCAUCAGAUGUGCCCAGAUGGGAUUAGCUGGUAGGUGGGGUAACGGCUCACCUAGGCGACGAUCCCUAGCUGGUCUGAGAGGAUGACCAGCCACACUGGAACUGAGACACGGUCCAGACUCCUACGGGAGGCAGCAGUGGGGAAUAUUGCACAAUGGGCGCAAGCCUGAUGCAGCCAUGCCGCGUGUGUGAAGAAGGCCUUCGGGUUGUAAAGCACUUUCAGCGGGGAGGAAGGCGGUAAGGUUAAUAACCUUGUCGAUUGACGUUACCCGCAGAAGAAGCACCGGCUAACUCCGUGCCAGCAGCCGCGGUAAUACGGAGGGUGCAAGCGUUAAUCGGAAUUACUGGGCGUAAAGCGCACGCAGGCGGUCUGUCAAGUCGGAUGUGAAAUCCCCGGGCUCAACCUGGGAACUGCAUUCGAAACUGGCAGGCUAGAGUCUUGUAGAGGGGGGUAGAAUUCCAGGUGUAGCGGUGAAAUGCGUAGAGAUCUGGAGGGAAUACCGGGUGGCGAAAGGCGGCCCCCUGGACAAAGACUGACGCUCAGGUGCGAAAGCGUGG
rnacentral:rRNA from 1 species